rnacentral:rRNA from 1 species
AGAGUGAACGCUGGCGGUAGGCCUAACACAUGCAAGUCGAACGGCAGCACAGGAGAGCUUGCUCUCUGGGUGGCGAGUGGCGGACGGGUGAGGAAUACAUCGGAAUCUACCUUUUCGUGGGGGAUAACGUAGGGAAACUUACGCUAAUACCGCAUAAGACCUUCGAGUGAAAGCCGGGGACCUUCGGGCCUGGCGCGGAUAGAUGAGCCGAUGUCGGAUAGCUUGUUGGCGGGUAAAGCCACCAAGGCGACGAUCCGUAGCUGGUCUGAGAGGAUGGAUCAGCCACACUGGAACUGAGACACGGUCCAGACUCUACGGAGGCAGCAGUGGGAAUAGUGGACUAAUGGGCGCAAGGCCUAGAUCCAGCCAUACCGCGUAGGGUGAACGGAGGU